rnacentral:rRNA from 1 species
CCAAUAGCGUAUAUUAAAGUUGUUGCAGUUAAAAAGCUCGUAGUUGAAUUUCGGAAUUUGUCGGUUGGUCGGGCUUCACUGUCCGCACUGACCUGAUGGAUUCCUACCUUCUGAAUAACCAGCAUGCUAUUAAGUUAGUGCGUUGGGGAAGCAGAGCUAUUACCUUGAAAAAAUUAGAGUGCUUAAAGCAGGCUUGUGCUUGAAUAGAUUAGCAUGGAAUAAUAAAAUAGGACGGCAUGGUUCUAUUUUGUUGGUUUCUAGGAUCACCGUAAUGAUUAAUAGGGAUAGUUGGGGGCAUUAGUAUUCAAUUGUCAGAGGUGAAAUUCUUGGAUUUAUUGAAGACUAACUUCUGCGAAAGCAUUUGCCAAGGAUGUUUUCAUUAAUCAAGAACGAAAGUUAGGGGAUCGAAGACGAUCAGAUACCGUCGUAGUCUUAACCAUAAACUAUGCCGACUAGGGAUCGGACGAUGUUAAUUUUUUAAUGACUCGUUCGGCGCCUUACG